ACCUAAUUAACGGAUCCAAGGUAC
rnacentral:siRNA from 1 species